rnacentral:lncRNA from 1 species
CGGGCAGAGAAGGAGGGGGUCAGACGGCCGGUCCCUCCCUGGAGCUCCAGGUCCACUUAGUGCUCAUCUUCUCAGCGCUUUUGCGUUCCAUUGGAGGAGCAUAUUCACACUAAAAAAAGACCACUUUCUAGAUUGAGGACAUGCGUCACUCUAGCAUCUGAGGAUCCCACCUUCACUUUGUGAGAGCACAGGGGCUGAGGUUGAAAUGCCUGCAAAACACCCAGGUGGAGAUGUCCAGAAGACAGUUGGAUAUACGGUAUUGAGGAGCAAAAGAGAGGCUGGAGAUAAUGAUCAGAAGUCAUCAGCAUAUAGAUGAUGAUUGAAGCCACAGGAGUGAAUAAGGUUUCCCAGGGAGAGGACCUCAAACAAAACAGGAACAUCUGGAGGAUGUACAGUGGAAGAACACCCAGCAUACACAGAGAUAGGUACAAUUGGUUAGUAUGGCAGAAUGAGACCAAAAUGGUUGAACUGCAACAAAGAGAAACUGGAAAAAGACAGAAAAUGACAGAGAGCCUAGUAACAGAAGGAAUGCAAUUUAAAAGCCCUUCCAAUGGGUUUAGUUAAUCCUGGAAAAGAUCAGAGACAUAUAGACAAAUGUGGCAAUAAAGUAAAGAAGCAAUUAGCGACUAAUGCAGAAGCAAGGUGAAGCAAAAAUAGGCAGUGAACGGCCGCGAACGACGUCAUUUAUGGUUCAAAAAUCUUAGGGCAAUUUUUUCAGAAAACAACUAUUACGUCAAACCCCCACCUCUUUGCUGGGCCCCUCUGCUCGAUUCAGGUACCUAGAUGAAUGGAGAUGUACGUGCACAUACAUAGGUCCCCAGGAACGAAAUGCCAGAUAGCAGCAGGGUUCAGCAGGUGGAGGAGGAGAUAGAAGAAAAAAAUAGGAGCGUGACAGGAAAACAAAGG